GACGAACGCUGGCGGCGCGCCUAACACAUGCAAGUCGAACGAGCGAGAGAGAGCUUGCUUUCUCGAGCGAGUGGCGAACGGGUGAGUAACGCGUGAGGAACCUGCCUCAAAGAGGGGGCCAACAGUUGGAAACGACUGCUAAUACCGCAUAAGCCCACGGGUCGGCAUCGACCAGAGGGAAAAGGAGCAAUCCGCUUUGAGAUGGCCUCGCGUCCGAUUAGCUAGUUGGUGAGGUAAUGGCCCACCAAGGCGACGAUCGGUAGCCGGACUGAGAGGUUGAACGGCCACAUUGGGACUGAGACACGGCCCAGACUCCUACGGGAGGCAGCAGUGGGGAAUAUUGCACAAUGGGGGAAACCCUGAUGCAGCGACGCCGCGUGGAGGAAGAAGGUCUUCGGAUUGUAAACUCC
rnacentral:rRNA from 1 species